CCCUUAGAUGUUCUGGGCCGCACGCGCGCUACACUGAUGCAUUCAACAAGUUCUACCUUGGCCGAGAGGCCUGGGAAAUCUUUCAAAUAUGUAUCGUGAUAGGGAUAGAUUAUUGCAAUUAUUAAUCUUGAACGAGGAAUUCCUAGUAAAUGCAGAUCAUCAUUCUGCGUUGAUUACGUCCCUGCCCUUUGUACACACCGCCCGUCGCACCUACCGAUUGAAUGAUCCGGUGAAGCCUCGGGAUUGUGCCCAGAGAACUUUAUUGUGAUUUGGGUGUGAGAACGUGUCUAAACCUUAUCAUUUAGAGGAAGGUGAAGUCGUAACA
rnacentral:rRNA from 1 species